rnacentral:rRNA from 1 species
GAUGAACGCUGGCGGCGUGCCUAAUACAUGCAAGUCGAGCGAACGGACGAGAAGCUUGCUUCUCUGAUGUUAGCGGCGGACGGGUGAGUAACACGUGGAUAACCUACCUAUAAGACUGGGAUAACUUCGGGAAACCGGAGCUAAUACCGGAUAAUAUUUUGAACCACAUGGUUCAAAAGUGAAAGACGGUCUUGCUGUCACUUAUAGAUGGAUCCGCGCUGCAUUAGCUAGUUGGUAAGGUAACGGCUUACCAAGGCAACGAUGCAUAGCCGACCUGAGAGGGUGAUCGGCCACACUGGAACUGAGGCACGGUCCAGACUCCUACGGGAGGCAGCAGUAGGGAAUCUUCCGCAAUGGGCGAAAGCCUGACGGAGCAACGCCGCGUGAGUGAUGAAGGUCUUCGGAUCGUAAAACUCUGUUAUUAGGGAAGAACAUAUGUGUAAGUAACUGUGCACAUCUUGACGGUACCUAAUCAGAAAGCCACGGCUAACUACGUG